rnacentral:miRNA from 1 species
UGUGUGUGUGUUUGUGUG